rnacentral:rRNA from 1 species
CCAGCCUGGGCAAGCAACAAAGCAAGACACCAUCUCUACAAAAUUUAAAAAAAAAACAAAAUCUCGGAAGCUAAGCAGGGUUGGGCCUGGUUAGUACUUGGAUGGGAGACCACCUGGGAAUACCGGGU